AUGCAUGUUACCCUCAAUGCUAACGGCACCAGAGGAGGGAUUCUUCUAGGUUGGAGGUCAGAUCGUUUCACUGCGACCGUGAUCGAGACACGCGAGUUCUCCAUCACAGCUUGUUUCUCGCCCGUCGAUGGAGGGGAAUGGUGGUCUUUGACUAUUGUCUAUGGGCCGCAUGAUGAGCCAAGGAAGCCGACAUUCCUUGCUGAACUUGCGCAGAUUCAUAACACAAUACUUGGUCCUUGGCUGCUAAUAGGCGAUUUCAACUUCAUCAAAGACCCGCAAGACAAAAACAAUAAUUGGAUCUGCCGGCGUUGGAUGAACUGUUUCCGCCACACCCUUAACAGAUCAAGCUUGCACAAGAUCCCCCUAACUGGUCGCAAAUACACAUGGAGUAAUGAGGAGCAAGUGCCCACCAUUGUCCGUCUAGAUCGUGCCUUCUGUAACGUUGAGUGGGAGCUGCUCUUCUCGGCCACCAAGCUCCUGCCGCUUACCUCUGUCAUCUCCGACCAUUGCCCGAUGAUGUUGGUGAAUAAGGGCAUCAUCGCCACCAACCGUCGGUUCUGCUAUGAGAGCUAUUGGAAGUUCACCGCGGGGUUUAGCGAGGUAGUGCAGCUGGCCUGGGCAGAAGGAACAGGCGGCAGAUGCUCGAUAUCGCGCCUAAACAUGAAACUUUGGCGCACUAGCAGAGCGAUGAGAAACUGGAGCAGAACACACAUCGGGGACCUACAAAAACAGCUGGCCAUUGCCAAUGAGCUAAUUCUCCAGCUUGAGAUAGCGCAAGAGUCGCACCAGCAAACGAUUGCAGAGCAUGAACUGCGGCGUAUGCUAAAACCCAGAACGAUGGGUGAUACGUCUCCAACGUAUCUAUAA
rnacentral:rRNA from 1 species